GAUGUACUCCCUCCGUCCGAAAAUACAUGUCGAAGAAAUGGAUGUAUCUAGAUGUAAUUUAGUUCUAGAUACAUCCAAUUUUAUCUAUUUCGCCGACAAGUAUUUUCGGACGGAGGGAGUAUUUC
rfam:Triticum aestivum genome assembly, contig: Triticum_aestivum_CS42_TGACv1_scaffold_501135_6BL